AAGUCGUAACAAGGUUUCCGUAGGUGAACCUGCGGAAGGAUCAUUAACACGUGAUACACGUCCUCCAACCUUCGGGAGGGUCUCUGGGACUGAUUGAGUGAAAGGACUACUGGAUAAGGACUGAGGGAGUAUGUCGCAGUUCUUUUGAAACUUUAGUCUUGUCUCUAGUCGAGACUGGUGGGAUCCACAUUACGUUUAAAAACUUGCUGUUCUAAAUUCAUACUUCUGCUAUUGAAGGGAUUCCCGAAAGGGUAAUUUCCUUUUAAUGCAAACUCUGAACAACUCUGAGCAACGGAUGUCUUGGUUCCC
rnacentral:misc_RNA from 1 species